rnacentral:rRNA from 1 species
AGUGAACGCUGGCGGCAUGCCUAACACAUGCAAGUCGAACGACAGCACCGUGAGUGCUUGCUCUUGCGGGUGGCGCGCGGCGGACGCGUGACUUAUGCAUCGGAUACCUCUUCUACGGGGGUGAUAACGUGGGAUCACUUCUGCUAACACAGCAUAUAUCGUACGGGUGUGGGCAGGCGUUCUUCGCGCUUUUUGCGAUUGUAAGAGCCGAGGUCGGAUGAGCUAGUUGGCGGGGUAAAGGCCUAGCAAGGCGACGCUGCGUAGCUGAUCUGACCGGAUGAUCAGCCACACUGGAACUGAGGCACGGUCCAGACUCCUACGGGAGGCAGCAGUGGGGAAUAUUCGGCAAUGGGCGAAAGCCUGAUCCAGCCACACCGCGUGAGUGAUGAAGGCCUUCGGAUUGUAAAGCCCUGUUGUUAGGAAAGAAAAACAGCAGGUUUAACCCUGGCGGUUCUGACGGUACCGAAAGAAUAAGCACCGGCUAACUACGUG